rnacentral:misc_RNA from 1 species
GUGAAUAAAGGAGUUUCAUUUCGAUGAACUCCGACUCAUCACCUUCCACACACACAUACGACAUUUGUCGGACCAAUUGUUCAGUAGGUUGGUAUCCCCAGCCUUUUGAACAAUUUUUUUUACAAACUCUAAUCGUUAUGUAUGUCUCAAACUAUCUUCGGAUAAUAAAAGUA